rnacentral:lncRNA from 1 species
UUUUUAUUCCCUAGUUCUCUAUUUUUAUAUUUUUCCCCAUAGACUCAUGGAUUAUAGGUAGUAGGUCCAUUAGUCUACAUCAUGACUCCGUGCGGACAUCCGAUCUCACCGUCCACGUCGUACGUCAUCCGAUCUCGCCGUCCGUCUCGAGUGGAGUUCUGUCAUCACGGAGUCGCGGUUCCGUCAUCGCGGUUGGAGUUCCGUCCACGAGUGGAGGUAAAUCGUGGUUCAGAUUCCGCGAUGAAUUGAUCCAUGGUUCAGGUCGCAAUUCCACGAUGAAUCCGUGGAAUCACGAGGUAGUCGCGGAACAGUAAUGUCGUUCUGCGCGUCCACACUCAAUUUCAGGUGUGGAAACUUGAGUGUAUUUUAAUAUUACUUUAAAUUACUUGAGUAUUGAUUAAAUUAUGUAAAACUAAGAAGUAAAAAUCAUGAAAUAAUUGACAACUUUUGGUAAAUGACGAUUGAUUAAAGUCAAUAAUGGUG